AACGAACGCUGGCGGCAGGCCUAACACAUGCAAGUCGAGCGGACCCUUCGGGGUUAGCGGCGGACGGGUGAGUAACGCGUGGGAACAUACCCCUUUCUACGGAAUAGCCUCGGGAAACUGGGAGUAAUACCGUAUACGUCCUUCGGGAGAAAGAUUUAUCGGUGAGGGAUUGGCCCGCGUUGGAUUAGGUAGUUGGUGGGGUAAUGGCCUACCAAGCCGACGAUCCAUAGCUGGUUUGAGAGGAUGAUCAGCCACACUGGGACUGAGACACGGCCCAGACUCCUAAGGGAGGCAGCAGUGGGGAAUCUUAGACAAUGGGGGAAACCCUGAUCUAGCCAUGCCGCGUGAGCGAUGAAGGCCUUAGGGUUGUAAAGCUCUUUCAGUGGGGAAGAUAAUGACGGUACCCACAGAAGAAGCCCCGGCUAACUCCGUGCCAGCAGCCGCCGUAAUAC
rnacentral:rRNA from 1 species